UCUAAUACCGGAUACCACUUCCACUCGCAUGGGUGGGGGUGGAAAGCUCCGGCGGUGCAAGGAUGAGCCCGCGGCCUAUCAGCUUGUUGGUGAGGUAACGGCUCACCAAGGCGACGACGGG
rnacentral:rRNA from 1 species